GACCCUGCAGCGGACUAGGAGUGAGGAGCCUUGGGUAUAGAACAGCGAGCAAGACCUGCGCGCUCCCUGGUGGAGCCCCGCGACUUUCCGCGGGGGCCCAGCAACGUCCUGGAGAGGGGACCUGACGACGCACAUCCUCCGCUAAGUGACAUCCCGGACAGGAAGUGCCGGCGGCCUGGCGCCGAUUGUGCGGAGCUCGGGGGACCGCGGCGGGGACAGGGAGAGGGAGGCCUCGGGGGGCCAGUCCCUUGAGGCCUUUCUGCUUGACCCCAGUCAUUACUUCCCUGGGAGGCAGAUGCUGUCUCUGUAUUCGCCCACAUUAGCUGGAGCCUGGACCUGUCUUUGCCACUGUGGCGGGGACAGGAGAGGAGAAGUCGGAGAAAGUGCGGGCCGCUCCGCAGAGCGUUCAGAUAGAAAGAAGGCGAAGGAGCUGGCCUGGCUGUUCCACGGCAGGCUUCGCAGGGUGACUGUAAGGGAUCCGAGCGUCAGGGUGACCUUCUGGCCGGCACAGUGCUCUCUCGUACGCUCAGGCUCCCGACUUGGGUGGGAUCACAGGCCAGCAGAGCGGCCAGGGGCUUGUGGCGUCUGGCAGCCAGAUCAAAGGGCGAGGGGCUGGGGGGUGGGUGUCGACGUCUUGGAGUAUGAGGAGGAGGAGAUCUAGUCUAGGCUGGGCGUGGUGAUGCAGGCCUCUCUCCCAGCCCUCGGGAGGCUGAGGCAGGAGGAUCCCUACAAAUUCGAGGCCAGCCUGGGCUACACAGCAAGACCCUGUCUCAGAAAACCAAAACCAAAACAAAGCUUCUAGGAUCUUGCUUGGGUACAAGGAUUGAUUAUUGAACGUUCACUGUAGUGGGAGCUUUGCCAAAGAAAUAAUGGGGGGGGGGCAAGGAAAAAACGCCAUCACCGUUUGGAUCGGGUUGUUCUGCAGGCCCUGUUGUGACAAGCCGUCCAGGGGCCUGAGGAUAUGGAUCCUGAGGACAUCUGUCUCUUAUGCUGGCCCAGAGCCUGGCCAGGUUGUCGGGUGAGCUUCUCUUAGCCUUGUUUUCCAGCAGCAGGGCUGCACCCUGAGGAAAAAGCCAGACCUCCAUUCUCGCCCGCCCUACUCGGUUUCCCAGGAUCGACUCGGCAGCGCGCCGCUUUGCACCCUCAUAGUCGGCACAGAGUGUCCGCUGGGUCGGUCUGUGGGCCGCUGGGCAUGGCUGGCACCGAGGCCCCCGGUAGCUGCUUGGCUGAGCCGAAAACACAGGGUCCCGGCCCUGCCCAGGCCCCGUUGCAAACGCCCUGACCUCCGGGAGUUUGACAGGCACAUUCGCUUAUUGAGAAAAGUUAGGAGAAUGAAAAGUUAAAAAAGACAACGUCUCCAAUCCCACCAACUCCGGAUCACCUCCAA
rnacentral:lncRNA from 1 species